rnacentral:lncRNA from 1 species
GAUUUGGUUUUAUUUAUUUUUUAUUUUAUUUUAUUUUUUUUGAGACUGGAUCUCUCUAUAUAGCCCCACCAUAUAGACCGGGCUGGCUUUGAACUCAGAGAUCCACUUGCCUCUGCCUUCUGAGAGCUGGGAUUAAAGGCCUUGCCCGCAUGCCCACUUAAGAAACAUAUUUGGAUAGCUAAAUAAGAAUAACAAACAGAAAGAUAUCUGUACUGAGAAGACAGAGCCAUGGUGUCCAAUGCUGUUCGCUAGAUUUUGCAACCACCUGGAUCCUGUUUGCCGAUACCCCUCAUCCGGAUUUCUGGGUCAUAAAGGGGGGAUGACUGGUCCUACCUUGUGGCAGACAGGGCAGUAUCGGAGGGAGCCUUUUUGUCCUUGAUUAUCUUUCCAUCCUGUUGGUAUCACCAAGGCCUCCCACAAAUGUCCCUUCUGUCACCAGUCACCACUGCUGCCAGGAAACCACUGCCAACCCUUCCUUCGCUGUAUGUCCGUUUAAACUGCACUUGAUCAGCAACAAGGAGAGAAGCUUUGUGGCAGUGAAGGCAGGUUGAGAAAUGCCCACGAUGCAUAGCUUUUCUUUCUUUGACGUGAUCUAGAACAAAAGACUAGAGUCAGUAUAGUGGGAUAUAUUGAGUGACGUAUAGGCACAAAGUAAAACGUCAUAGUUGGCAAAUGUUUGGAGUUAAAAGGUGCUGAAGAAAUGUAGGUGACAUGCACUGGGUCCUUUGACACCUUUAAGGUAAACUUCCUUUAUUAGCACAAGUGAUUCUGCCCCAGGACUUGUUAGUCUGACCUAUAGAAUGGGCCCGCCUGACAGUCUCAUUUUCAAUAUGUUCAAUGAUUCUGGUCCCCAGAGAAGGUGAGCAGAGCAAGGAGAAAUAAUGAUUGCAAAAUGCUAAAGCAAUACCCACCCUGAUUUAGCACCUCACCCCCUACUUCCCAGUGAAGGUUCAGUCUGAGCCAUGGUGGAUGGGAGAACGUGUUCUUUCAGCAGCCCAAUGUCCUGGUUCUCACGUGUGAGCCACUCUGGGACUGAUGUACCAGGCCUAAUUCCAACCAAACCCUCCCCUCAUACGUCAAGUCUGCAGCUCUGCUCUUCUUUAGGGUGCUUUGUUCUUGUUCGUGGUACUUAGUGGAGCCAGCCGGCUGGCUUGAAUGGAUGGGUGUUCCUUACUGGCAAACCUCUACAUCUCAAAGGCAGUGGUCCUAGCAGCCUGUUUAGUCAUGCUGGCCCAUCUCCCCUAGGCAGAAGUUCAGUCCAUGUGUGGGGAGACUCCUUUUCUUUCCUUCUGUUGUGUUAUGUCUUGUGAACCUCAAAAUCUUCUCCUUGAAGAGGGAGCACCUUCCUUUCUGUGCACCACCUCACAGACUUGUUUGCUUGCCAUAGAGACAGGGCACUGCACCCCUCUUGAGGCUCUGUGGCCCUCCGGGCCCCGUGUACAUGCCAUCUGUAGCCCUUGGUCCUGACUCUGUGUUAAUGCUGUGGCCCUUCAAGCUCAUCUUUCAAAGCCUUCUUAAUUGAUACAGCUUUUACUAAGGGGAAAAAACAAUCUGUCAGAAUAUUGUAUGUACCUGAGAAGAACCUGUGAAAUAAACCUGUGUUGCUGUCACCGUCCUGACAUGUGUAUGUAUGACUUUAGUACAUUCUCAACAACAGAGUUUCGUUCACCAAAUUCUCAUGUAAGCUUGAAAGAGAAGGCUGACGCCUAACAGGCUGUCACCGAGUGUAUUUCUAUACUCUUUGAAGAAUAACAUUUUAAUAAAAAUUACAAAGCUGU